GACGAACGCUGGCGGCGUGCUUAACACAUGCAAGUCGAACGAAGUGGCGAACGGGUGAGUAAUACGUGGGUAACCUGCCCUCCUUUUUGGGAUAAGCCUUGGAAACGGGGUCUAAUACCGAAUAAAGGGGGAUGGGCUCGCGGCCUAUCAGCUUGUUGGUGGGGUGAUGGCCUACCAAGGCGGUGACGGGUAGCCGGCCUGAGAGGGUGACUGGCCACAUUGGGGCUGAGAUACGGCCCAGGCUCCUACGGGAGGCAGCAGUUGGGGAGAUUGCACAAUGGUCGAGAGCCUGAUGCAGCGACGCCGCGUGGGGGAUGAAGGCUUUCGGGUUGUAAACCGCUUUCGCUAUCGAUAGGGUAGGUGGAGAAGAAGCGCCGGCUAACUACGUGCCAGCAGCCGCGGUAAUUC
rnacentral:rRNA from 1 species